GUAGGUGGCAAGCGUUGUCCGGAAUUAUUGGGCGUAAAGCGCGCGCAGGUGGUUCUUUAAGUCUGAUGUGAAAGCCCCCGGCUCAACCGGGGAGGGUCAUUGGAAACUGGGGAACUUGAGUGCAGGAGAGGAAAGUGGAAUUCCACGUGUAGCGGUGAAAUGCGUAGAUAUGUGGAGGAACACCAGUGGCGAAGGCGACUUUCUGGCCUGUAACUGACACUGAGGCGCGAAAGCGUGGGGAGCAAACAGGAUUAGAUACCCUGGUAGUCCACGCCGUAAACGAUGAGUGCUAAGUGUUGGGGGGGUUUUCCCCGGCCCCCCCUCAGUGCUGCAGCUAACGCAUUAAGCACUCCGCCUGGGGAGUACGGUCGCAAGAACUG
rnacentral:rRNA from 1 species